UGAAGUGUGAGGACGUCGGCCGCGGAUCUCAAGUAAUUUGCGUUUUGUCUUCGGGAUUGUAACUGUUUUUGAGGCUUUUACUACUGUUCGCAGACACGCAUUAUGAGCGCCGAUAGGAAGAUUACCAACCACGUAACGUUACCAACGGCGCUGGGUGCCAAACGAUGAAUCUCGUACGAAGUGACAGGUGGUGAGAACACAAGGUGGUGAGAACCCAAUCUCUCCAGUUAGUUGGUGGCUUACGCAAGCAAGGGAAACUAGACGGUGCAUCGCAAGUCCCGAAGUAUACG